rnacentral:sRNA from 1 species
AAGGCCUAGGGAGCCUUGGUUGCAUCCUGUGGGUCCCUUACAGGUGCCAGAGCGAGAGGAACAGGAACAGCAGGUAGAGGUCUCAAAGCCAACCCCCACCCCUGAAGGCACCAGCCAGGAUGUGACCACAGUGACACUCCUGCUGCGAGCCCCACCUGGGAGCACAUCCAGCUCACCUGCCUCACCCAGCAGUUCACCCACCCCUGCCUCUCCUGAGCCUCCAUUGGAGACUGCCGAGGCCCAGUGCCUUACAGCUGAGGUUCCAGGCAGCGCAGAGCCACCCCCCAGCCCACCCAAGACCACCAGCCCUGAGCCUCAGGAGUCUCCAGCGCUCCCCAGCACUGAGGGCCAGGUGGUCAACAAGCUUCUGUCUGGCCCCAAAGAGACCCCGGCUGCCCAGAGCCCCACCAGAGGCCCCUCUGACACCAAGAGAGCAGACGUGGCUGGACCCCGACCCUGCCAACGCUCCCUGUCCGUGCUCAGCCCCCGCCAACCAGCCCAGAACCGAGAGUCCACCCCCCUUGCCAGCGGACCUUCCUCGUUCCAGCGGGCUGGCUCUGUGCGGGACCGUGUCCA